GCCUUCAGAAACUUCAGCUAACUACCCUUACACCUCUCCACCACCACCGGCCUCUCCUCCCUACCAUUACAAGUCACCACCGCCUCCUUCUCCUUCUCCUCCAGUGCACUACUCACCACCUAAGCAUCCCUACCACCCUAAGUCACCACCACCUCCUGUGUACGCACCACCUAAGCAUCCCUACCACCCUAAGUCACCACCACCUCCUGUGUACCCACCACCUAAGCAUCCCUACCACCCCAAGUCACCACCACCAUCACCAAAGCCUUACCACUACAAAUCCCCACCACCACCUCCUGCUCCAGUGCACUCACCACCCCCACCUAAGGAGCCAUACCACUACAAGUCCCCACCACCACCACCCAAGAAGCCCUACCACUACAAAUCUCCCCCACCACCUCCUCCUCCAGUUCACUCACCACCACCACCCAAGGAGCCUUACCACUACAAAUCUCCACCACCACCACCCAAGAAACCUUACUAUUACAAGUCUC
rnacentral:lncRNA from 1 species